ACGGGAGGCAGCAGUGGGGAAUAUUGCACAAUGGGGGAAACCCUGAUGCAGCGACGCCGCGUGAGCGAAGAAGUAUUUCGGUAUGUAAAGCUCUAUCAGCAGGGAAGAAAAUGACGGUACCUGACUAAGAAGCCCCGGCUAACUACGUGCCAGCAGCCGCGGUAAUACGGAGGAUGCGAGCGUUAUCCGGAUUUAUUGGGUUUAAAGGGUGCGUAGGCGGAGUGCCAAGUCAGCGGUGAAACGCACGUGCUUAACACGUGACCUGCCGUUGAAACUGGUAGUCUGGAAUACGGAUGCUGUGGGAGGAAUGUGUGGUGUAGCGGUGAAAUGCAUAGAUAUCACACAGAACACCGAUUGCGAAGGCAUCUCACAAAUCCGUCAUUGACGCUGAGGCACGAAAGUGUGGGGAUCAAACAGGAUUAGAUACCCUGGUA
rnacentral:rRNA from 1 species